ACGCGGUCACCUGCGGACCAGGCUUCCUCGAAUCCCAGCCAUGAGAAGAUAUCGAGGCGGCUCUCUCUUCAAGGUUCGAAAAAAGAAAGGCUGCAUAGCAACAGCGACUACUCACCGAGUUUUGGAGUUUCCAUCAUUUUCUGUGCCAACGGAUGCGAAUGCCAGAAUGAAAGCAGGGACACUUCAGAGAUUAACUGCUGCUAUUGAACAGUGCAAAAGCAGUAAGGAUUUUUCGAAGUUGGCUACAGAAGAAAGAUUCCUUCUCCAGUAUCCUUUGAGUGCUGGUCAGUGUCACCCUGGUCACGAUGUCACCACCAUGCUUGGCAAGGCAGCCUCACAACUAAGCCAAAGGGUACACCCUUCUGUUAUAGCUCGCAUUAAAGAGUGCGUGGUAGCUGGUUUACGAAGCCCGCGUGACAUAUCCAACGUCUUGAAAAUGGAGAGCACAGCAGGCUUGUCCCGUGCAUACCAUCCUCACGCCAAGGAUGUACGCUGGCACGUGUUUUCUUCUUUGCGCUCUCUUCAAAUGUCAGUUGUGGAUCAAUUAGAGCUUGGAAUGAAGGUGGAAAGUUGGAGAGAACAUGCGAGACACCCGGAUAUCACAUUU